rnacentral:rRNA from 1 species
GUUUCAGCCGCCGCGGUAAUACGGAGGGGGCUAGCGUUGUUCGGAAUUACUGGGCGUAAAGCGCACGUAGGCGGUCGCGCAUGUCAGAUGUGAAAGCCCCGGGCUUAACCUGGGAAUUGCAUUUGAAACUGCGCAGCUAGAGGCCGGAAGAGGGUAGUGGAAUUCCCAGUGUAGAGGUGAAAUUCGUAGAUAUUGGGAAGAACACCAGUGGCGAAGGCGGCUACCUGGUCCGGUUCUGACGCUGAGGUGCGAAAGCGUGGGGAGCAAACAGGAUUAGAUACCCCCGUAGUCC